rnacentral:rRNA from 1 species
GAUGAACGCUGGCGGCGUGCCUAAUACAUGCAAGUCGAACGGGGAGUACUUACUUCGGUUUUUACUCCUAGUGGCGAACGGGUGAGUAACGCGUUGGUGACCUGCCCCGAAGAGGGGAAUAACAGUUCGAAAGGACUGCUAAUACCCCAUGUGGUCGUACUGGUUAGAGGCUGUACGACUAAAGGAGUAAUCCACUUCGGGAGGGGCCUGCGUCCCAUCAGCUAGUUGGUAAGGUAACGGCCUACCAAGGCGAUGACGGGUAGGGGACCUGAGAGGGUGGUCCCCCACACUGGCACUGAAACACGGGCCAGACACCUACGGGUGGCAGCAGUAGGGAAUAUUGCACAAUGGGCGAAAGCCUGAUGCAGCAACGCCGCGUGCGCGAAGAAGGCCUUCGGGUUGUAAAGCGCUUUUCUGGAGAAAGAGGAAGGACGGUACUCCAGGAAUAAGGAUCGGCUAACUACGUGCCAGCAGCCGCGGUAACACGUAGGAUCCGAGCGUUAUCCGAAUUUACUGGGCGUAAAGCGCGUGUAGGCGGUCGGGUAAGUUGGACGUGAAAGCUCCUGGCUCAACUAGGAGAGGUCGUUCAAAACUGCCUGGCUAGAGGGCGACAGAGGGAGGUGGAAUUCCCGGUGUAGUGGUGAAAUGCGUAGAUAUCGGGAGGAACACCAGUGGCGAAGGCGGCCUCCUGGGUCGCACCUGACGCUCAGACGCGAAAGCUAGGGUAGCAAACGGGAUUAGAUACCCCGGUAGUCCUAGCUGUAAACGAUGUGGACUUGGCGUUGGUGGGGUUAAAUCCAUCAGUGCCGUAGCUAACGCGAUAAGUCCACCGCCUGGGGACUACGGUCGCAAGAUUAAAACUCAAAGGAAUUGGCGGGGGCCCGCACAAGCAGCGGAGCGUGUGGUUUAAUUCGAUGCUACACGAAGAACCUUACCCGGGUUUGACAUCCAGGUGGUAGGGAACCGAAAGGCGACCGACCCUUUGGGGAGCCUGGACAGGUGCUGCAUGGCUGUCGUCAGCUCGUGUCGUGAGAUGUCCGGUUAAGUCCGGUAACGAGCGCAACCCUUGCUGUAUGUUAUACGUGUCAUACAGGACUGCCGGUUUAGAACCGGAGGAAGGCGGGGAUGACGUCAAGUCAGCAUGGCCUUUAUAUCCGGGGCUACACACACGCUACAAUGGCCAGCACAACAGGUUGCAAAACCGCGAGGUGGAGCCAAUCCCCAAAGCUGGCCUCAGCUCAGAUUGCAGGCUGCAAUUCGCCUGCAUGAAGUCGGAGUUGCUAGUAACCGCGCGUCAGCUAUAGUGCGGUGAAUACGUUCUCGGGCCUUGCACACACCGCCCGUCACGUCAUGGAAGCUGACAACACCUGAAGCCGGUAUCCCAACCGCAAGGAGGGAGCUGUCGAAGGUGGGGUUGGUGACUGGGACG